GCCCGCCUAGCUUAAUCGGAUAGAGCGUCAGACUCUUAUGAUGCCAGGCGGUUAAAUGAUCUGAAGGCUGCGAGUUCGACCCUCGCGGUGGGCU